rnacentral:rRNA from 1 species
GACGAACGCUGGCGGCGUGCUUAACACAUGCAAGUCGAACGGUAAGGCCCUUCGGGGUACACGAGUGGCGAACGGGUGAGUAACACGUGGGUGAUCUGCCCUGCACUUCGGGAUAAGCCUGGGAAACUGGGUCUAAUACCGGAUAGGACCACUGCCUGCAUGGGUGGUGGUGGAAAGCUUUUGCGGUGUGGGAUGGGCCCGCGGCCUAUCAGCUUGGUGGUGGGGUGAUGGCCUACCAAGGCGACGACGGGUAGCCGGCCUGAGAGGGUGACCGGCCACACUGGGACUGAGAUACUGCCCAGACUCCUACGGGAGGCAGCAGUGGGGAAUAUUGCACAAUGGGCGCGAGCCUGAUGCAGCGACGCCGCGUGAGGGAUGACGGCCUUCGGGUUGUAAACCUCUUUCAGCACCGACGAAGCGCAAGUGACGGUAGUUGCAGAAGAAGGACCGGCCAACUACGUGCCAGCAGCCGCGGUAA